rnacentral:rRNA from 1 species
AUUGAACGCUGGCGGCAUGCCUUACACAUGCAAGUCGAACGGCAGCACGGGGCAACCUGGUGGCGAGUGGCGAACGGGUGAGUAAUGCAUCGGAACGUACCUUUCAGUGGGGGAUAACGUAGCGAAAGUUACGCUAAUACCGCAUAUUCUGUGAGCAGGAAAGCAGGGGAUCGCAAGACCUUGCGCUGAUUGAGCGGCCGAUGUCAGAUUAGCUAGUUGGUGAGGUAAAGGCUCACCAAGGCGACGAUCUGUAGCGGGUCUGAGCGGAUGAUCCGCCAGACUGGAACUGAGACACGGUCCAGACUCCUACGGGAGGCAGCAGUGGGGAAUUUUGGACAAUGGGGGCAACCCUGAUCCAGCCAUGCCGCGUGAGUGAAGAAGGCCUUCGGGUUGUAAAGCUCUUUCGGCCGGGAAGAAAUCGCACGGGCUAAUACCCUGUGUGGAUGACGGUACCGGAAUAAGAAGCACCGGCUAACUACGUGCCAGCCGCCGCGGUAAGAC